rnacentral:lncRNA from 1 species
AUUCAACUCUUCGCUGACUUUACACCAAGCUGCGUGUACACACAUUAAAUGCACUCGUAAUAUUUCUCCCUUGUUCUUAAUGUAUCUGAUUCGCUGAGGAUUUCCGAACCGUGGUGGUAAUAUAUGACUUGAACUAGAUUUUUUUUUAUUGGGUUUUAUUUCCCACUGUUUUGCUCUUUGUUUCAUUCCGAGCCUAAUUUAUAUUUUGGUGUAAGAUAGGCGGAUACUUAUACAUGUAAAUAUUGUAUGUGCGUGCGUGCGUGUAUGCAAUGUAUGAAUAGAUAACUGUAGAUUCUUUCUGUGCCUGUGUGUAUUCCUGCUUUAUCAACAUAACGUUAAACUCACGACUGACAGAAGUAAAAUAUAUAUAUAUAGAUAUAUAUACAUAUAUGUAAAAUACGAGCAACAACAUAAUUCUAAAGAGUAAAUUUUUUUUAUAUUACGUCACGUCUUCUGCCAGACUCAUUCGAGACAGUAUAAAAGCUCGGUGUCAUUACCAUUUUAUUUAAAAUCUAACCAAAACCUGUUUCUACUUAUAUUGGCUCGUCAACAAGCAAUGCCACAUACGUUUGUAAAGUUGCAUUUUCUUUCUUUUACAAUUGCUCCUUGUUGCGUGCCUUGACUUCUAAAAUUUUCACACUGGAACUUAUCACGAACAUAUAUAUAUACAUCAAGAAGAAUUUCAUGUUAAAAUCCUAUUCUGUACGCUAAAGUUUAACUGUAGCAUAGCUUAUCAGUUCCCUGCAUGUGUAUAAUGUAUGUAAAUUUAACGAGAUAGUAAACCUACUCACAAUUUUCUCCGUCGCUGACGUAAAUUGUGAUUUGAAGCUAUCUUGUUUAUCUGUUCUCUAAGCGAUGGAAUCGUCGGCAUUGUUAUGUAAAGACGACCUCUGCUAUUGGAGAGCAGACUUGCCGAGGAUUACAGGUGAUCAUUACCAACUAGAAGACGGACAGCAGCUUCAGGGUCUUUUGCCUAUCACAGUUAAUACUUCUAGUAAUAUGCUGUGAUUUUGCUGCUCGUCAUUUUUGUCUUUAGUUUUCCAAUACAGUUGUCUUUCUCUACCAGAACAGGCAACACAGUCACUAAACGUAUUAUUAUCCCUUUAUAAACAUAUAUACCUACACCUUCCUUUUUUUAUAUAUACAUAUAAACAUACAAACACCUAUUCUUACAUACGGACAAAUAUCUGACACCUUGAAGACCUGUCCUUUCUUUACAAAGGAUCGGUCGUUGCUGAAAUGGUGUCUUUUAUGAGUAAAAAGAAACGUUAUAAGUUCAACGUGAAUUUUACACUGGACGAACUUUCUUCCGUGCCAUUUGUCAGCGGAAUUUUGUUUGCUAAAGUGCGGCUACUCGAUGGAGGAAAUUACACACAUUUGUCGUCAAGGUAUGUAUUUUUUGUUUUUUUAUUUUUUAUAAUUGAUUCUCUAAAAAUUCAUUUAUUUAUGACGUUUUACUAGAUUUUAUAGUGUUACUAUUAUUUGUUUUUUAAUCUCCUUAAUUAUUGCCCUUUUUUUUUCUUCUCUCGUAAUAUCGGAAAUGUUGCUUUUCGAUAUAGAAAAAUUAACAAAAAAAAAUGUAUACGAGCGCAUCAACUAUUAUUCAGAAACCCAUAAGUUGCUAUUAUUGUGAAAACACCGAAUUAUAAACCACAUAGGAGACAAAUUGUCUGCGUGUAUAAUCCCCCAAAACACGUUAAUUUGCUAUUCAUGUGUGUAAAGAUAGCAAGAGGGAGAGUCUUUAUUGAAUCCGCAAGUUCUGUUAGUGUUUGAUGCCGGUUUGACACUCCACAUCACCAAUAAUAAACAUAGGAUGAUCUUCCUCUAUUCCACGUCAAUGUAAGUGGAUCGUGACACUUGAGCUAGCACCUGUUUAUAGCUAACAGUAUUUAAGAGACGGGAUACUUCUUUAGCAGUAAGCUAACCCUGACCGAACAAACCUAUACUCCCAGGCGUCUCAGUCGUGACCAUCACGCUAUUUUUACCCAAGCGUAGUGUAUUUAGGACAUUAUCUGAUGGCUUGCCUUUAUUAAAGAUAGGAUGUGAAAUAGAUGUUCUACUGAGAUUUCUAGAAAGUCCAGUGACCCAUUAGAGGCCUCUUUCUUGAUAGGAGCUGGGAUAAUUUCUUCUGAAGGGUGCAGUGAAAUAUUUUCUCCAUCAAUGCUUUCAACGUCACAAAGAAAAUAGUAUGCUUACUCAAAGAUAUUAUUAUCUAAUAGAUAUAGUCAUAUCCAUUUCCACGCCCCUACUAUAUUUUCAGUCCAUCUUUUUCAAAGACAACGGAAAGUCAUACAUCGGUGAUCUGCGUGUGACAUUACUUAAUUUUCUCUAUGAACUUUUUGAAGUUUAUUUUUCUUAUUCAUGGGUUAGUAUUGCAAAUUUCACUGUUUUGCAGUAGUCAUCACCUUUGAAAAUCCGUUGUUCUUUAUAUAUUGCUAAUAUUAACACCUGCUGUAUAACAGGAAACUAGCUGAUUAAAAAGAAAAAGACCAGAAGUUAUAUAUAAUAAACCUUUUAUUUAUCAGCAUCAUCUGCUGUAGUUGGUUUACCUACUUUUCUCCUAACUUGAAUUAAACCACAGACGAAUAUUUAUCAUGAAUUUCUAGUUUAGAUUAUUUAACUUAAUAGCAGGUAAUAAUUUCCUUUACUAUGCAAUGUAUUUCUGACUCACAUGUAUAUGCAUUUCUAAAUUUCUUCAUUGUAGUAAUCGAACCGGUUAUUAUUGGCUGCAUAUUUUGUAAACAUGGGUCACUUUAGUGAACAAAAGUUGACACAAAAGGAAAGCCAUAUUUUACAUCAGGCAUUUAGCGAGCAUUAUUAUCAUAGCAAGUUGAAACAAAAUCGUGAAACUUUUAACCAAUUUAAUCAUUUCUAAGAAACUUAUCACUUGAGUUUCGAAUCUUAACUAUAAUAUUGUGUAAGCGCGUAACUCUGGAUAUUUGAUUUUUAAGGAUGCGUACAAGGGGGUGGCUAUAGGCACGUGUAAAAUGUAUAUAUACGUACGUGUACAUUUUUGCUGACAUGUAUAUACAUGCAUAUUUAGCUCAAGGCGUAUGCUAAUUAAGCAGUUGUACGCUUUCAUAUACAUUAAAGCAUGUACUGUUAUAUACUACGUGUGUGAAUAUUUACCGAACUGACAUAUUUUUCUUUACAUAUGUGGUUUAGAGAUUGUACUUUAAUGCAGCACAGUUUAAUUUAGUAACUGUUAAUAUCUCUGUUCUUUCAUUUGUUUAAUAAAUUAAGGUGUAUGAUAUAUUAACAUAUUCCAUGUUAACAUUUUGGAAUCAGUCAGCUGAUCAUUUUUCGACUUUUUCCUCCAUUGCAUUCAUUUAGAGUUUCAUCGCCUCAGUUCAGCUUUAAUUGAUAUAAUUUAAUUGCAAAUAUUCUUAAAUCAUGCAAGAAUUUCCUCUAAAAGGUAUUAAAAAUAAAGCCUUGUUUGUUUUCGAUUAUUUUUCGAUUUGUUCAUAAAAAAGUUGUUUCGACUAUUGUCUGUAAAGUAUAUAUAACAAAGCUAUUAGAAUAUAUUCUUAAUAAAUUAGUAUGUGGUCUAUCCCUAAAGCACUUUAAUCUCUUGACCCCAUUCAGUGGAGCUAUAGGUAGAUUAACUAUCGUGAGAAUGAUACAAACCAUCCAACUUGUUGAUGUAUUGUGCACUACAUAACGGGAGCAUCUUUGCUUGUAGUGCCUGACGAAAGAAAUGACUUUUACAGGAGCGCUUUUGUAAAUAUUUGGAUGAUGGGUAAACAUUAGAAACUACUAGUCCUAAUCACAACAUGCAGUAUAUGAAUGACACAAAGGUGUUAUAGAGAAACGAAUAGAAUUUCACACACACAUUCUAGUUAUGUAUGUGUGUGUGUGCAGACCAAAUGUGCUUCUUAUUUCAUCCUGUAGUUUGAGGUGGAAGCUCAUUCGUAGUGGCAUUAAAGUUCUAGUUAAUCUAUUAGUUUGAUGAAUUAAGAGUUGUUUUAUGUCGGGAUAGUUAGAGCGUGGAUUAAAAUGCCCCAGGUGUUAUAUAGUUAUGAUCGUUUAGAUAUUGAGUUAAACUUCCGCCGAUAUCUGUUUUACCUUUUAUUUUUCUUAAGUCAAUAGCAACCAUGGACUAGUGUCAAUUUAGUUGACUAUAUUUCUUUCAAGAAAAAAAAAAAAAAAAAGAGGCCGUGAGCCUAUGUUAGAAUCAGUAUUAGCCAUAAACAUAUUAGCUUUCUGGAUUUUUUUUUUUUUUUGGAAGUUUCCAAAAUUAACGUCUAUAAGUAUCGCGUAAUGUAUAAGUUUUAACUGCAAGAAGCUUCAUUAUAUAGAUCAAAUAACAAUACAGACGAAUUAUGAAAGCCACGUUGGACUCAAAACUUCCUGCCCUGGUUAGCAAUAUUGGCUAUAAUUACCAUUAUACCGUUUAGUGUUUAGAUUUCCCUUUUGUAAUUCCAUGUAAGAAGAUACUCUAGUUUUUUUUCAUUGUACUGUAAUUUAAUGUGAGACAAACCAUCUGGAAUAUCGCUAGUUAAUUUUAUAACUGAUCAAGUGUGGACAGCUCGUUACUUCCACUAAUUUUGCAGCAUGUAGUAAUUUAGCGUGGAGUUAAUGCUUGCAGGGAAAAUGUGCAUUCUAAGUGGAUUGUCAAAGGCACCUGGGGAGAGCACAUAAUGCUUAUAAAAAAAACCCCAGAAAGUGGGAAUAAAUGUAUGUAAAUUUUAUCACCUUUGAAAUUUCAUUCAGUAGACCAGCACUGACAAUAAAGAAUACUUUUUGUCCUUCAGAUUAGAAAUGUGACAUCUUUUUUAUUACUUUAGUCAGUAUGCAUUUACGUAAAUAGAACCAAGCAGUAGAUAAACUGGUUGGAUUUAUGGAGGUCAUCCAAUG